GCAGGCAGGGGACACACGCGCAGUUCCCUGAACCUUCUGUUUGAGCGACCCAGAGCGUCUCUCCUUCCCUCCUGGGUAGAGAUUGUUCCUCCCGCCCUCGGCGGGCGCCGCUGGGGUGGCGUCGCCUCGCCCCCGGGGCCGCACCCUGCUUCCCUGGGGAACACCCUGCCUCAGGCCUGCCUCCCCUCUUUAGAGUGAUCUGGUGGUGGAGACACGACAUUCAUGGACUGAGAAGAACGGGAAGGAGUGAUGCUGAAGAAGAUCUUGACACUGCAUCCAUCACAAUUGCCAUAGAAGACCCUUGUGGCCCUACCUCCAUCAUCUCAGUGUUCACUGUUAGUUCUGGACAUUGAAUGCCAGAACCUCCAUUGCUGUCCUCCCU